rnacentral:lncRNA from 1 species
CAUAUGAUAUAUAUAUAAUGACCAGAGUUUUUCACACUUAAAUGGAUUUAUGUUCAUAUUCAAACUCCUCUAUUUACUAAUGGUUUGACUUAAAACUUGCUGAACUCCUCUGAGCCUCUAUUUCCUUAUUUGUAAAAUGGGGAUAAUAAUAGUAUGUCCUCAUAUGGUUGUUGUAAAAGCCAAGUAAGUUAUACGUAAUGUCUUAGGCAAUGUCUAACAAUAAUAAAUGCAAAACAGUGGCUAGGCGCUCAGUGCUAGACAUUCAUUAUAUACAUAUACACAUAUAUGAAAUGCAUUUUUAGUAAUAAUAUUUCUGAGCCAUAAUGAAUCAGCUCUAAAAGGGGAAGCAUUGAAGAUGGCGAUGAAAUGAUUCAUGUCCCCUUAUUACCAGAGGAAUUGUGAGCUUAAUCGUAGCAGCCUCCAUUUAUUGAGAGCGUGUGAUGUGCUAGCACCCUGCUCCUGCUUCAAAUUCUCAUUACACUGAAUCUUAGCAAAGCAACCACAUAGGGUAGGCUUGUUUUAUUUUUCAGAAAACUGAAGCAGUAAGCCCAUCAGCUCCGUCUGAGUCCACUGUUGGGGGGAUCCUGACCUGUAGCCAGCCCCUACCCCUAACCCUGUAAGCAGAGCGCUGCCUCCCCAUCAUCAUGCUCUCAGAGCUGUUUGUUUUCAUGAUGUCCACUUUAUCUGACAGCCCACACACAGCCACACAGCUC